ACUUUAUAAUGGUGACCACUGUAGCUAGUAAAUCAGGUGUUGCCGGAAGGAUGUCGCAGAGCCUAAAUAUACUAACGAGAUACAUUUAUUACUUAUUUCUAUGCUAAAUGAUGUCCUCAUGCACACUGGUUAGCAAGGGCAUUUGGAAUAUUAUAGUGCUGAUGUGAGCUCAUCUUUCAAUCAACAUAUCGAAGGGUAAGUUAAUCACAAGCCCCCACCGAAGACAAAAAGAGCUUUGGACGGAGAGCCUGGAGGUUGCUGCGAUUGUUCUUUAUAGACAGAUGACAGCAACCGGCCCCACUGUGCUCUGAUAUCUUUAUAAAGCAGGAGUAGUUCUAGUGAAGUCAACUAAGUUAUGCUGGUGUAAAUGCAGUGAGAAGCCGGCCAAAGGUCACUUGCAGAUCUUGAGCUAAUUAGAUGACAUACCGACAAGAGGAUGGAGAGGUCAAAGUGUGACUGAAUGGCAAGAUGGGGAACUGAGGCACAGAGACUAAGUGGCAUACCCAAGGGCACACAGGAAGUCUGUCGCAGAGCAGGGAAUUGACACCAGGUGUCCCAAGUGCUAGACGAAUGUCCUAACUGCAGGCCCAUCUGCCCGUUCUUGUAAGGUGUCUCAGAUGGAAAGCAGUGGUAAAAGAGGUAAUAAAAUCCCUGG